rnacentral:rRNA from 1 species
AACGAACGCUGGCGGCGUGGCUAAGACAUGCAAGUCGAACGGACUGAUCAAUUUAUUGACCAGUUAGUGGCGAAAGGGUGAGUAAUGGAUAGGUAACGUGCCCUGCGCCCCGGAAUAGCGUCUCCCGCACCAAUUUUGGGAUUUUGCUAUCGAUGGAUCGUGUCCCCUAUAUUGAGGAACCUCCGGAUCCGGUCGAGGCUGAGACCAAAAUUGGGCGGGAUCCGAAAGGGGCGGUAAUACCGGAAAUUUCAUUUGUCGACGGGCGAAUGUUCAAGGAUUUAUCGGCACGGGAGCGGCCUAUCUCCUAUCAGCUUGUUGGUGGGGUAAUGGCCUACCAAGGCUGCGACGGGUAGCGGGACUGAGAGGUUGGCCCGCCACAUCGGGACUGAGACACUGCCCGGACCUCCACGGAGGGCUGCAGUAACGAAUCUUGCGCAAUGGGCGAAAGCCUGACGCAGCGACGCCGCGUGUGGGAAGAAGUCUUUCGGGAUGUAAACCGCUGUCAGGGGGAAGAAAGUCCGCUUCGGCGGAUUGAUCUAACCCAGAGGAAGUCACGGCUAACUUCGUGCCAGCAGCCGCGGUAAGACGAAGGUGGCAAGCGUUGUUCGGUGUCACUGGGCUUAAAGCGUGUGUAGGCGGAAAAGUAAGCGUUUUGUGAAAGCCCUCGGCUUAACCGAGGAAUUGCUUGGCGAACUGCUUUUCUUGAGGCAAGCAGGGGUGCAUGGAACUCUUGGUGGAGCGGUGGAAUGCGUAGAUAUCAAGAGGAACGCCUGUGGUGAAAACGGUGCACUGGGCUUGUACUGACGCUGAGACACGAAAGCGUGGGGAGCGAACGGGAUUAGAUACCCCGGUAGUCCACGCCGUAAACGAUGUCUACUAGGUUGUGGUGGUUCUGACACCAGCACGGCCGAAGCAAAAGUGUUAAGUAGACCGCCUGGGGAGACGCCGGCAAGGCU